rnacentral:rRNA from 1 species
ACGGAGGCCGCAGUAGGGAAUAUUGCACAAUGGGGGAAACCCUGAUGCAGCAACGCCACGUGUGGGAAGAAGCAUUUCGGUGUGUAAACCACUGUCGUGAAGGAAUAAUGCUGGACCUCGGUCCAGUUGAAUGUACUUUGAAAGGAAGCACCGGCAAACCUCGUGCCAGCAGCCGCGGUAAUACGAGGGGUGCAAGCGUUGUUCGGAAUCACUGGGCGUAAAGGGAGCGCAGGCGGAGAUGCAAGCAGUCUGUACAAUACCGGGGCCCAACCCCGGACCUGCAGACUGGACUGUUUCUCUUGGAUAGCUCAGGGGCUGGCGAAAUUCCUGGUGUAGCGGUGGAAUGCGUAGAGAUCAGGAAGAACACCGAUGGCGAAGGCAGCCAGCUGGGGGCUUAUGGACGCUCAUGCUCGAAAGUGCGGGUAGCAAACAGGAUUAGAUACCCUGGUA